GCGGGGAUAUCCGAGUUUGGUCUAAGGAGCAGGGCUUAGGUGCCAACUAAGGUGGCUAAGAAACCCUGUGGCGCAGGCCUUCGUGGGUUCAAGUCCCACUCCCCGCA
rnacentral:tRNA from 1 species